UACGUGGGGGUGCAAGCGUUAAUCGGAAUUACUGGGCGUAAAGCGUGCGCAGGCGGUGAUGUAAGACAGAUGUGAAAUCCCCGGGCUCAACCUGGGAACUGCAUUUGUGACUGCAUCGCUGGAGUACGGCAGAGGGGGAUGGAAUUCCGCGUGUAGCAGUGAAAUGCGUAGAUAUGCGGAGGAACACCGAUGGCGAAGGCAAUCCCCUGGGCCUGUACUGACGCUCAUGCACGAAAGCGUGGGGAGCAAACAGG
rnacentral:rRNA from 1 species